rnacentral:rRNA from 1 species
UACGUAGGGUGCAAGCGUUGUCCGGAAUUAUUGGGCGUAAAGGGUGCGUAGGCGGCGCGGUAAGUCGGAUGUGAAAUCUCGGAGCUUAACUCCGAAACUGCAUUCGAUACUGCCGUGCUUGAGGACUGGAGAGGAGACUGGAAUUUACGGUGUAGCGGUGAAAUGCGUAGAUAUCGUAAGGAAGACCAGUGGCGAAGGCGGGUCUCUGGACAGUUCCUGACGCUGAGGCACGAAGGUCAGGGGAGCAAACGGG